rnacentral:lncRNA from 1 species
GGGAACAUGAGGAGGAUGAAGGGGAACAUGAGGAGGAUGAAGGUAACAUGAGGAGGAUGAAGGUAACAUGAGGAGGAUGAAGGGUAACAUGAGGAGGAUGAAGGGGAACAUGAGGAGGAUGAAGGUAACAUGAGGAGGAUGAAGGGGGACAUGAGGAGGAUGAAGGUAACAUGAGGAGGAUGAAGGGUAACAUGAGGAGGAUGAAGGUAACAUGAGGAGGAUGAAGGGGAACAUGAGGAGGAUGAAGGGUAACAUGAGGAGGAUGAAGGUAACAUGUGGAGGAUGAAGGGGAACAUGAGGAGGAUGAAGGUAACAUGAGGAGGAUAAAGGGGAACAUUAGGAGGAUGAAGGUAACAUGAGGAGGAUGAAGGGGAACAUGAGGAGGAUGAAGGUAACAUGAGGAGGAUGAAGGGAAACUUGAGGAGGAUGAAGGUAGCAUGAGGAGGAUGAAGGUAACAUGAGGAGGAUGAAGGUAACAUGAGGAGGAUGAAGGGGGACGUGAGGAGGAUGAAGGUAACAUGAGGAGGAUGAAGGUAACAUGAGGAGGAUGAAGGUAACAUCAGGAGGAUGAAGGGUAACAUGAGGAGGAUGAAGGUAACAUGAGGAGGAUGAAGGGGAACAUGAGGAGGAUGAAGGUAACAUGAGGAGGAUGAAGGUAACAUGAGGAGGAGGAAGGUAACAUGAGGAGGAGGAUGAAGGUAACAUGAGGAGAAGGAUGGGUAGCAGGAGGAGAAGGAUGAAAGGUAGCAGGAGGAGGAUGAAGGUAACAUGAGGAGGAGGAGGAAGGUAACAUGAGGAGAAGGAUGAAGGGUAACAGGAGGAGAAGGAUGAAGGGUAGCAGGAGGAGGAGGAUGAAGGUAACAUGAGG